CACUCCUGCAGGAGGCAGCAGUGGGGAAUUUUGGACAAUGGGCGAAAGCCUGAUCCAGCAAUGCCGCGUGAGUGAAGAAGGCCUUCGGGUUGUAAAGCUCUUUUGUCAGGGAAGAAACGGUGAGAGCUAAUAUCUUUUGCUAAUGACGGUACCUGAAGAAUAAGCACCGGCUAACUACGUGCCAGCAGCCGCGGUAAUACGUAGGGUGCAAGCGUUAAUCGGAAUUACUGGGCGUAAAGCGUGCGCAGGCGGUUUUGUAAGUCUGAUGUGAAAUCCCCGGGCUCAACCUGGGAAUUGCAUUGGAGACUGCAAGGCUAGAAUCUGGCAGAGGGGGGUAGAAUUCCACGUGUAGCAGUGAAAUGCGUAGAUAUGUGGAGGAACACCGAUGGCGAAGGCAGCCCCCUGGGUCAAGAUUGACGCUCAUGCACGAAAGCGUGGGGAGCAAACAGGAUUAGAAACCCUAGUAGUCCCA
rnacentral:rRNA from 1 species